ensembl:lncRNA
AGCAUUUCAAGGAGCAUUCAGAGGUUCCCAAAGCAUUUCUCUAAGCAUCUGACUCUGCAGCUAACUGUACUCAGGACAGCAGAAUUGUGGUGACCCAAACACACCUGGUUCCUUCUCAGUUUUGAUGCUUGUGGAGGCUUACGUUUUUUGAUUCAGUUGCAUGGAAAUCACAGAAUUGCAAGGGUUGGAGAUCAUGGGCUUUAUGAAGGAAUUGAUGUUUAAGUAAUAGAAAUUAAAGUUACUUAAGGUCUUGAUAGUAUUGCUUUUACUGUGAUGAAGCCUUCUACGCUGCUUCCCCUCUUAAAGUCAUGAGAGACAUCAUGAACUCAUGUUUUCCUGUUGAGAGUGCUCUGUUACUGAUAUUCAAACGCAUCGCAUAGACUUCAGUCUAGAGGCUGGAUUGUCACACUCAGAGAGUCGCAGUCAUCGACUCAAUAUCCUAGUGGAGAAACAGAAGGUUUCUGGAAGUUUGUCAGGACCUAUUGAAGCAAUGUGAGACUGAAGAUGACAGUUUCCUGGAUCACAGCAAUGCUAGUGAUGCAAUGUGGUGUCACCACUAUGAGCCAGAAUCAGAACAGCAGUCCACGGAGAGAUGACGUGUGAAUUUCCCCAUCAAGGAAAAAGUUUAUGAAGCAACUUCAGCAGCUAAACUGAUAUGUGCUGUCUUUUGGGAUAGGAAGGGGUAAUCUUUCUGCAUUUCCUGGAACCUGGACAGACCAUCAACUCUCACCUCUACAUCCUGAAACUGACUAAGUUGAACACUUGGACUUCCAAAGUUUGAUCAGAUAAGAAGACAACCUUUUCUUGCAACAAUAUAGUGCCAGGCCCCAUUUGAAAACUGUGGAGCAUGUUGCCAGUCUUGACUGGACUGUCCUACCACAACCAACAUAUAGUUCUUCUGACUUCCAUCUGUUCAGGUUGAUGAAAAUGGACUGUAUGGGAAAUAUUUUCCUAGCAACAAUGCUGUCAUAGCAUCUGUGAAACAGUGGGUUACCUCCAUUGGUGCAUAUUUUUACAAGCGUGGCAUGCAGGUUCUUAUUCAUCACUGAUGAAAAUGCAGAGCUAAUGGUGGUGACUGUGUUGAAAAAUAGAUUUUUUUAGCUGAGAAUUUGCUCUAUCCAAUAGUGUUACUGUGCUUUCUGUAUCUGCUAUAGUUUCCAUGGAAAUAAAUAGGAGGAAUUAGUUUCUGAGUGACCUAUGUAUAUUCUACUUCAGUUAGUUUCCAUGUGAUCUGAAUCAUGCCUCAUGCUAUACAUGAAAGCAGAAAAACAUAAAGCUGAUAUGUUAAUGCUGGAUGUGGCUCUGGGCAGCCUGAUCUAGUAGUUGGCGACCCUGCCCGUGGCAGGGGGCUUGAAACUAGAUGACCUUUGAGGUCCUUUUCAACCCAGCCAUUCCAUGAUUCUAUGCUGUAAUGUGGAAAUUAAAAUGGUAAGUUGGAAUAUGGGAAAAUAGUUGAAGUAACUGUUUUUCCAAACAGAUGGUGGAGUGUUGCACAUCACUGAGACAGAACCAAUUUUGAUUUUUCUUUGGAAAGAAGUACAAGCUCACAUUAGGAAAGCAGCAUUACUAUAUAUUGGAAAACCACAGUUGAUAAAAAAAAAACCCUAACCAAAUUUAGCAGAUAAAAGGAUUACUGUACUAUAUAUCCUAACAAAGGUUAAUUAAGCUACUGAAAAUUCUACUCUUUGGCACUUCCAUUUUUGCUUAAACUUGACUGAUCUUAAAGCCAUUGUCCACAAAAAUAUUUUAUGAGGCACAUAUGAGAUUUCAAAAUAUAGGCUUUAUUAUGUUAGUAAGUGACUAUGAUAAUUUGCCUAAUAGUCUAGUUGCAUCACUGGCUGCUGCCAUUAUAAAAUCUUCAGUGAUGCUUAAAAAAAGCCUCGUGGUUUUGUAAGCAGUUUAUGACAGGCUGUUUGGAAAUCAUAAUAUUACUGAUGUCAUAAGCAACAGCUGUUUCCACAUUCAAGAGAAGUUAGAAUGACUCAGUAAAGUCAGGUGGGGAAACAGACGUCUAGUGAUUCUUACUAACAUGAAAUAUCAGCUUAGAGAUUAUUUCAGAACAUCACAUUGGAGUCCAGAUGGUUUGUGCAUCUUAAGAAAAAUAUAAGCAAAGAUAAAAAAAGAAGCUGAUUGAAAUUGUGUAGGUGUUCAGAAGUAGACAAAUGCAAAAAAGGAUUUCAUGUAAGUUUCACUCUUCUUUCAAGAAUGUCCUCUGGUAGUGCUUAUAUGAUCCUUUUAUUUCCUUUCCAAAACAAAAGAAACAAACAAACAAAACCAAAAAACAUGAAUUUCCUUUUACUUGCCCAAACAACUCUCCAAAAUCAAAGUUCAGUCCUCUAUGGAAAUACAUACCUCUGCUUUCUUACUGUUCAUGUGUAAGGGCAGUUUAUAUCCAUUAUAUAAAACAGUUAUCAAGAGCCUUAGAAAGAGCAUUUACAGUAUAGAAAAAAGUUUUUAGAGUUGUGUUUACAAGUUAUGCUUGCUAAAAUAGGGACAGGUGAAUUCUAGAGAACUGUUCAGACACUCUGGAUCUCACAGCUUCCUUAACCCUGGAAUUUUAAGGAUUUCAAAGUCUGUCCAUUUGAAUGCAGUCCUUUAUUGGCCUUGCUUCAGCGGCAGUCAGACGGAUUUGAUCUGCCCUGUGCUGAUUCUUCCUCCUUGCCAUCUUACAAUAUGCUGUUUUGUUCCCUGGGAAAAGCAAAGCAAUUGCUAACAGAUGAUUUGGCUUCAGGCUGCUUUUACCAUCUGUGGAAGAAGGGCAUAAUUUCAAAUGUUAAACAGCCUGACCAUAGCUACUAGUACUGUUGCACCUUGGCUACUGAAAACCUAGAGAAAUGUCAAAUUUCUUUCUUUUCUGCUACAUAGAUAUUUCUGGGUGAGAGCAGGCAGAUGUUUAGAGUAAGCUCAUUAGGGAAUAACCUGACUUCACUCAUAAGCUUCUGACAAGUUUGGGCCACUGAUGGUAAUUUCUGUAGCUGACCAGCAUCUGAGAUGCCUGACAGUGUGGUGAAGUAUGAUCUUUCAGGGAAAAAAUAUAAUCAUGUAUCACAAUUAACUAGCAAAAUCCAGGCUUUGAAUAUUGAAUACCUACUAGAGAUUGAUAAGUUCUAUAAAACCAUAUUCAAAACUUGAACAACACUUUCAUCAGUAAGAUAGUAUUUCAUGACAAAUCACACUGAAAAACUUCCAUUGUUUCCAAAAUGUAAAAAAAUAGAAUAAAACUGAAAUGAUAUCAUCAAGACAUGACAAAAAAAAAAUUCUAGAAGUUAAGAGGGCAACCCUGGCAAAUAAAUUUUUUAAUACAAAUUAGUUUGUCAAAAUGGUGAAUGUUAACAAUUAAGUACUACGUAAAGGUGAGAACCAUUAAAAUUACAUGUCCACAGUACAUAAAACUAGAACAAAGAAAAUUAUCCCCGUCUCUUUUGCUGCUCUUUGAAAAAGUUGAUAAAUAAAAGUGAUGCAACAUCAGUGAUUUAGCUGAUUUCAAUGUCUUUUCUCUGAACUAUAAAGAUGAAGUGUUAAAGAACAAGGCCCUGAAACCUGACUUAGAAAUGCAGGAGAAAAGAAAAAGAAUGGGCUACUAUAUAAAGUAAAAGCAGCAGAAUUCCUUGCUGGUUGUUACUUACUUAGGUUAGUUAUUUGUGUGUGAUUUAUAGAGGUGGAUAGCAACUCAGUGUUUAUUUGGUAAUGCAGAACUGCUUUUUAAGUGUAAGUCAUGGCAUAUUGUGAGAAGUGCCACAUUUAAUAUUUGUGACUGAAAUUCUCCACACAUCUGCUUAAAUUCUUCUGUUUUGUGAAAUAAAUUGAGUUAAGGAAUUGUAUGAUGAUUUUAGACUGCACUGUGCUUAAUUUUUUGUAGAGAUCCAUUCAGUGUUCUUUAAGAAAUCCAGUGAAACUACAGAGCGUUAUUCUUAGAACAAGUACAAUGAAAAAAAGAGAGUGAAAAAAAAAAAAAAAAAAACUUUGUUCAAAGCAAUUUUGUACAAAAUUUGCUCAUUUUGGUUACUAUUACUUUACAUAUUCCAUGCCUGGAAUGAGAAUUAAUGCUUGCUGUGUGAAUAAACUUGGCAUAUUUUUGCCAUUUAAACAGAAAUCACCUGUGGUAUUAGGCUGCAUUUUUGAGGAACUGUAAAGUGAUUAAUUAUGCUGCACAGAAGUAGCCAAGAUGAAGUACCAAGGCUACUUCCUUCUGAAGUGUUGAGUGUGCCAGUCUCCCUGUCAUUUAGCCAUCUAUUUUUGACAAGAUGCAGACUGAUAAAUAAUUGGCAGGAUUCUACUGUACUUGUCUAGGUUAAUGCCUAACAAUAUGGGCCUGUUUUCUCUAACUGAUUUUAGGAGCGCUAUUAAAAGUGUGUAAAAUUUCUAGUGAGAUUACGUAAGGCAAUCACAUAAGGAAAUUAGGGAGAUAUGUUCUUUCUAUUUUCAGUAUUGCACAGCUCACUAAGUGUACUUGAUUCGUUUUUUAGAGAUCCUAACCCUAACUCUUUUCCUUCUUCCCUCUGUCCUCACAGUAAACUUCAACUUCUUGUUUAUAUGGGAAAUUUUCUGUUGUUUAUGACACCCAUGAAAGUUAAAGAUAGCUAACAAGUCACCCAAUCUAGUCUAUCAUUCUUUCAGUGUAGCAUUCUCCUUAUGGCACAUUUUCUUCUGUUUUGUUCAACUUACUUUCACAAGUCCUAGGCAAUUCUACCACUUUGCCUAGGAGACAUUUCCCCAGUUUAAUAGAUUUCACCAUCAGCAAGAGCGAGAUCUGUCCACAGCAGAUUAAAAUGACCACAGUUCUUACCACCUUCUAGACAAAAUGUCAGCCCCAUCUGUCCACUGUAGCUUUCCUG